rnacentral:rRNA from 1 species
GUAGGUGGCAAGCGUUGUCCGGAAUUAUUGGGCGUAAAGCGCGCGCAGGCGGUCCUUUAAGUCUGAUGUGAAAGCCCACGGCUCAACCGUGGAGGGUCAUUGGAAACUGGGGGACUUGAGUACAGAAGAGGAAAGCGGAAUUCCAAGUGUAGCGGUGAAGUGCGUAGAGAUUUGGAGGAACACCAGUGGCGAAGGCGGCUUUCUGGUCUGUAACUGACGCUGAGGCGCGAAAGCGUGGGGAGCAAACAGGAUUAGAUACCCUGGUAGUCCACGCCGUAAACGAUGAGUGCUAAGUGUUAGGGGGUUUUCCCGCCCCCCUUAGUGCUGCAGCUAACGCAUUAAAGCACUCCGCCUGGGGGAGUACGGCCGCAAGGCUG